GCCCUGGUAGCUCAAUUGGCUAGAGCGUCGGACUUUUACGGGCCUCUCGCCUGGCAAGUUCCGAGAUCCGAAGGCUGCGGGUUCGACCCCCGCCUGGGGCG